GUGGGGAAUUUUGGACAAUGGGCGCAAGCCUGAUCCAGCAAUGCCGCGUGCAGGAAGAAGGCCUUCGGGUUGUAAACUGCUUUUGUACGGAACGAAACGGUCCGGGUUAAUACCCUGGGCUAAUGACGGUACCGUAAGAAUAAGCACCGGCUAACUACGUGCCAGCAGCCGCGGUAAUACGUAGGGUGCAAGCGUUAAUCGGAAUUACUGGGCGUAAAGCGUGCGCAGGCGGUUUUGUAAGACAGGCGUGAAAUCCCCGGGCUCAACCUGGGAAUUGCGCUUGUGACUGCAAGGCUGGAGUGCGGCAGAGGGGGAUGGAAUUCCGCGUGUAGCAGUGAAAUGCGUAGAUAUGCGGAGGAACACCGAUGGCGAAGGCAAUCCCCUGGGCCUGCACUGACGCUCAUGCACGAAAGCGUGGGGAGCAAACAGGAUUAGAUACCCCGGUAGUCC
rnacentral:rRNA from 1 species